CAGCAGCCGCGGUAAUACAGAGGGUGCGAGCGUUAAUCGGAUUUACUUGGCGUAAAGCGUGCGUAGGCGGCUUUUUAAGUCGGAUGUGAAAUCCCUGAGCUUAACUUAGGAAUUGCAUUCGAUACUGGGAAGCUAGAGUAUGGGAGAGGAUGGUAGAAUUCCAGGUGUAGCGGUGAAAUGCGUAGAGAUCUGGAGGAAUACCGAUGGCGAAGGCAGCCAUCUGGCCUAAUACUGACGCUGAGGUACGAAAGCAUGGGGAGCAAACAGGAUUAGAUACCCCCGUAGUCCCUGUCUCUUAUAA
rnacentral:rRNA from 1 species